ACGGGUGGGUAACGCGUGGGAACGUGCCUUUCGGUUCGGAAUAACUCAGGGAAACUUGAGCUAAUACCGGAUACGCCCUUAGGGGGAAAGAUUUAUUGCCGAAAGAUCGGCCCGCGUCCGAUUAGCUAGUUGGUGAGGUAAAGGCUCACCAAGGCGACGAUCGGUAGCUGGUCUGAGAGGAUGAUCAGCCACACUGGGACUGAGACACGGCCCAGACUCCUACGGGAGGCAGCAGUGGGGAAUAUUGGACAAUGGGCGCAAGCCUGAUCCAGCCAUGCCGCGUGAGUGAUGAAGGCCUUAGGGUUGUAAAGCUCUUUCGCCAGGGACGAUAAUGACGGUACCUGGAUAAGAAGCCCCGGCUAACUUCGUGCCAGCAGCCGCGGUAAUACGAAGGGGGCUAGCGUUGUUCGGAAUCACUGGGCGUAAAGCGCACGUAGGCGGAUUGUUAAGUCAGGGGUGAAAUCCCGAGGCUCAACCUCGGAACUGCCUUUGAUACUGGCGAUCUAGAGUCCGGGAGAGGUGAGUGGAACUGCGAGU
rnacentral:rRNA from 1 species